UACAGAGGUCUCAAGCGUUGUUCGGAUUCAUUGGGCGUAAAGGGUGCGUAGGUGGCGCGCUAAGUCAGGUGUGAAAUUUCGGGGCUCAACCCCGAAACUGCAUUUGAUACUGGCGUGCUUGAGGACUGGAGAGGAGACUGGAAUUCACGGUGUAGCAGUGAAAUGCGUAGAUAUCGUGAGGAAGACCAGUGGCGAAGGCGGGUCUCUGGACAGUUCCUGACACUGAGGCACGAAGGCCAGGGGAGCAAACGGG
rnacentral:rRNA from 1 species